rfam:Xenopus tropicalis strain Nigerian Chr02_contig_1985, whole genome shotgun sequence.
GUUAGAUAUGGGGACAUGGUUCCCAAGACUAUCGCAGGGAAAAUCUUUGGUUCCAUUUGUUCACUGAGUGGUGUGCUGGUCAUUGCACUGCCUGUCCCUGUAAUUGUGUCAAAC